AACAAACUGAAACAAUGUUGACUCUUCCUACUUGGUAAAAAAGUUAGAUAAUGUUUUUCGAAAUGAAUAAUCGAAACAAGCCAUUAUAUAGUGAUGUGAACGGUGAUUUUGAUCGAACUGGAGUGUUAGAAAGCCGUGAAAAAGAUGAUGAAUCCGAUACGAAACCGCGCUGCAAAGGAAGCUGCUGUGAAAAAACUACAAGUCGACAAAGGGGCCACCAGAAUUGUGGUUACUGGAAGCGGAGCACAAUUCUACGUUUCCUCACGGAUUCAAGAUCCAAGGUGCAAGUUCCAUAAUCGAAACGUCACGUCGCGUCGUUUACUGAUACGAAACCAGAUAAAAAAAUAAGGAUAAACCAAUUUCGACGUCAUAAAUUUGGUAUGCGGAAUUGUGGACCCUUAUAUUUUGACAGCAUCUAGCAUAAAGACACAGAAGAAAGAUUCUUUAUAAAAGCUGAAGAGAAAUUUUUUAAACUGUAUCCGAAGUUUUGAAAGUGAAAGUUCCAAAAGCAGUUGAAAUAUUUGUCAAGUAAAAACAUAAUAAAAAAAAAUCAACUUAUAUUUUUAUAUUCUGCCACAAGUCAAAUACUUCAU